rnacentral:rRNA from 1 species
UGAGGAAUAUUGGACAAUGGGCGCAAGCCUGAUCCAGCCAUGCCGCGUGCAGGAUGACGGUCCUAUGGAUUGUAAACUGCUUUUGUACAGGAAGAAACAGUUCUACGUGUAGAACCUUGACGGUACUGUAAGAAUAAGGAUCGGCUAACUCCGUGCCAGCAGCCGCGGUAAUACGGAGGAUCCAAGCGUUAUCCGGAAUCAUUGGGUUUAAAGGGUCCGUAGGCGGUUAGAUAAGUCAGUGGUGAAAGCCCAUCGCUCAACGGUGGAACGGCCAUUGAUACUGUCUGACUUGAAUUAUUAGGAAGUAACUAGAAUAUGUAGUGUAGCGGUGAAAUGCUUAGAGAUUACAUGGAAUACCAAUUGCGAAGGCAGGUUACUACUAAUGGAUUGACGCUGAUGGACGAAAAGCGUGGGUAGCGAACAGGAUUAGAUACCCACGUAGUCCCUGAGCGGGCUGGCAAGGCGCAU